AUUUAAAUAGUUUAAUAAAAAUAUUGAUUUGUGGUGUCAAUGAUAUGAGUAUUUCAUUUUAGAUC
rnacentral:tRNA from 1 species